rnacentral:rRNA from 1 species
UCCUACGGGACGCAGCAGUGAGGAAUAUUGGUCAAUGGGCGCGAGCCUGAACCAGCCAAGUCGCGUGAGGGAAGACGGUCCUAUGGAUUGUAAACCUCUUUUGUCGGGGAGCAAAAGACGCCACGCGUGGCGUUCCGAGAGUACCCGAAGAAAAAGCAUCGGCUAACUCCGUGUCAGCAGCCGCGGUAAUACGUAGGGGGCAAGCGUUAUCCGGAUUUACUGGGUGUAAAGGGAGCGUAGACGGCGCGGCAAGUCUGAAGUGAAAGGCAGGGGCUUAACCCCUGAACUGCUUUGGAAACUGCCAU